rnacentral:ncRNA from 1 species
CUUGAAUCGAUGAAGAGAAGAGUAGGGCUAGAUCCUAGUCUAUAGAGAGUCGACGGGUGGUGAGAGUCGAUGACAGGGCUUGCCUGAAGAUCAUCUCUGAGAUGUGCAGCUGAACAUUGUAAGUAAGCUGUGCCGGAUGGUUCCCCGUUAUAUUGGAGCACAUACUUUAUUUUGUAGUAUGUAAUCGAGAGCCGCGGUUUAUUUUUUUCUGAAAAUAGCUGCGGAAGUAGGGUGGUAACGCGAGCAAAAACUCGUCCCUAUC